rnacentral:rRNA from 1 species
AUUGAACGCUGGCGGCAUGCCUUACACAUGCAAGUCGAACGGUAACGCGCCUUCGGGUGCCGACGAGUGGCGAACGGGUGAGUAAUACAUCGGAACGUGCCCGAUCGUGGGGGAUAACGAGGCGAAAGCUUUGCUAAUACCGCAUACGAUCUACGGAUGACAGCAGGGGACCGCAAGGCCUUGCGCGGACGGAGCGGCCGAUGGCAGAUUAGGUAGUUGGUGGGAUAAAAGCUUACCAAGCCGACGAUCUGUAGCUGGUCUGAGAGGAUGAUCAGCCACACUGGGACUGAGACACGGCCCAGACUCCUACGGGAGGCAGCAGUGGGGAAUUUUGGACAAUGGGCGCAAGCCUGAUCCAGCCAUGCCGCGUGCAGGAUGAAGGCCUUCGGGUUGUAAACUGCUUUUGUACGGAACGAAAAGCCUUCUUUUAAUACAGGAGGGUCAUGACGGUACCGUAAGAAUAAGCACCGGCUAACUACGUG